GGCCGCAAACUUUACAAAUACAGAAUUACUCUUACGUACUCCGAGAUGACACAAGGAGAAAGCUACGCGGUUUGGGGUCAAAUGAUGUCUUUAUUCUGCUCGAUGAGAGGCUUACAGGUUGUGCAAAGACAUCAACGGCCAAGCCGAGCGUAGUGAGGUGGCCCCAAACCGCGUAGCGGAAAAUGUGUGGAGAAGGGUGGUAUUGUUAUUGUA